AGAAAUAUCGGGAGCAAACCCUAUUCUUGUCUCUCACAGCCGCCUCUGGCAUUUUCCUCUUCUCCCCCGCCGCCGGGCGUCCUCCCGCCACUAAUCCCCUUGGCUUUGCCGCCUCUCCCUCCUCUGGUCCAUCUCCCAUCGUUGCCAUGUCCGGUUCGGCUGGGAGCAGCGAUGGAUUUGAGCGCGAACGCCGCCUCUCGUGAUCCCGACGCCAUGGCAGAGCGGAAGCAGAGCCGGCCUUGGGGCAUCCCACAGCGAGGCAAACCCUAGCCGCUCUCCCAAUCCUCUGUCCCCCAAUCAGCCCGCAGAAUCCUCCUCCCAAUCCGCUCGCGAGCGCCCUUCCCCGUCCCCUUUCCUGCACACCACCACCAUCUCAAGCUCCUCUGUUCCGUCCGCUGCUCCCGCGACGACGGAGAUGGCGCCGGUCGCAUAUGAUUCACCGCGGAGCGGCAGGCUUGUUCGCCGGUGCACGCGUGCGCGCACAUCGCGUGCGGCUCCGUCAAUCUUGCAUACCUGCGUCGCGCGUGUGGCCGAGGUCAGUUGCCGCUGCACUCCGGCAAGCCGGCCCCAGGAUGCAUCGGCGGUGAUGCAGGCCAUGGGGGGCUAUGGCUGCUAUCGCCAUCCAUCCAGGGGAACCCUCCUUCCCGGCGUCGUCCACGAGGCUGGUCCGCUGCGACAGUACUUCGACGCUCUCCGUCCUGGCGGGCUCCUCCGACGACCUCGCUGAGAACACGUCUGGCCCUGCCCGUCCGCUAGGUGUCUGAUUAGGAUUUGCAGUCCGUGCGUGCUAGGAAGUCCAGAUCAGUAAAGUAGCUGAGUGUUAGCUGAGAAUCUGGGAGCGUUUGGGUGUCCAAGUGCUUGAAGCGAGGUAAAUUGGCUAAAACUGUUACGCCUCUUGCCCCCGUCACAUUCAGCCUCCAUUACUAAGAGGAAAUCUGGGAGCAGCUGUACGUGUACAUACAUAUUGAGGAAUUGAAUGGUGCUGAUUGAUUUGAAAUGGAAAAAAAUUCAAGGUGUCUGUCUACGGUUCUUACGGUUUGUGCAGUUGUGAUCUGAAGUUGGUAAAUAUUGUGGUUGCUUCCGAGGAAACAUCUUCCAGCAAUUGAAGGUGCUCUUUGGCUCAUCAAUGACAAGCACCAAAGAUCAUACAUUGCAUGUCAGCUCUUUUGAUCCCCACUUUUUUUUUCAAUGCAUCAUGAGUACGGUUACUGGAAGUAACACCUUCGUGACUCAACAUGCUACUGCCUUAAUGUCCAAUCUUUUUCUCUCUGCAUUUUCAGUAGUCUCUUUAGAACCUUCAGUAGAAUGUAUGUUGAUGUUCAGUACAGUAGCAUGCUCACUAUUUACAUUUUUAUUGGGUGCAUUCACCAUUUGUGUCGAUCACAGUUUGGUAGUCGAUACCAUGAUCUUAUUUCUAAUGGGCCAUUAUCUAUGUAUGUAACACAUAAGACCUUCAGUAAGCUGCUGAUGUGAAUAAUAUUGGAAGAUUGUCAGAUCAUGCUAUCUGCUAUAUGAUUUUGAAUUCAUAUUCUAUUUUGCAUGUAUGCAUAUCGUUUGGCGUUAUACGUUUGCUCGAGAUGAUUGUCUACUAUCAUGGUAAAGGGAAGGAUGUAUGAAUAUGUAGGAAAAAUAAUGUAUUUUAGAUCAGGGUAUAUUUCUAAGGAUCCCUACCUGGUAUUCUCUUUUUAUAAAUAGCUUAGUUAUGUUUACUUCAUCUUCUCCCAUGUGAUAGUUCCUAAUAGAUAAUUGAUCUUCUUAAAUCAUAUUUAUUAGCGAAUUUUUGCUAAAGAAGAAAUAAAUUCAUGAAUGUUCUUUUUACCAUUUAAUUUACAUUGUGUUAUGUGAUUAUGUCUAUCAUUUUACUUUCAUAGCUGUUAGCAUUCUGAGUUACUACUUGGUGGACCUCUGUAUUUUAUUUCAGUUUGCAUUGUUGCAGGUCUUCUCCUUGUUGCUUGUUAGUUUGUAGGUCAAAAGAAAAGAUCUGCCAUUUAAGAUAAAUCCAGCCAACAGCCGAUUAAAGCGGUCAUCAUCGUGUUGGCGACUGCAGCCUUGGGUGGCAGCUACUCCGGUCCGACUGCUUUAGUGGUGUUCUUCUUUCUGGAGUUUUUAUCCAUGGCCUCGGGAAAAACAUCUUCCACUAUCCAGAGAUAUGAUGCUACAAACGGACUCGCCAGCAGCGCAACAACCUCUGCUGCACCGAUGAACCACAUAUCAGGGUGCAGCCGGGGCCUUUCCUCUUACUCCCAGGACGCACGACAUGCGGUGCAACGGUGUUUGCCUUAGCCUAUGAUGCGAUAUGCUCAUCCCCAGUUCGUGGGUGAGGGCAAGUGCAGAGGAUGCAGACCAACAGUAUAGCUGCCUGCUCUCCUUGGUCUCUUCGUUGAGGUCCUGAAGGUUCCUCCCUCUCUCACUUUGUCUCUUAUAAGUACAAACACAUUAUUUUAGGUCCCAUGUGCUUUUGAUACUUUUUUGAGAGAAAGAGAGCCUCAUAUUAUGGAGGUAACACCCGAGAAAAGUCGAGAAAAGUCUUGUGUUACAAGGUCUUCUAUUACAUCAGGCAGGAGAUUUAACCAGUUGCCAGCUGAUCUUGCUAAUUUAGCAAGGCAAUCUGCUCGGUAUAUUGCUCACUUUUUCAGCAUAAACAAUAGAAAUCAGUAAAAGAUUUCAGCAAGGAUUUGGCCUCUUCAUACGUAGCCCACUGAACCAAUCUGUCCAACAACCGUGAUCGCAGUGCCGUGAUCGUAGUGCCGCUGCAACCUUGGCGCAGUCCAGUUCAACGAUGUGCCUUUGAUACUUGGUUGGCCUCUUCAUACGUAGCCCACUGAACCGAUCUGUCCAACAACCGUGAUCGCAGUGCCGUGAUCGUAGUGCCGCUGCAACCUUGGCGCAGUCCAGUUCAGCGAUGUGCUUUUGAUACUUGGUUUCUAUAAUAUAUGUUCGAUUUUCAUGCCAUUUUUUAAAACCCAGGGUUAACAUAGACAUCAGAAAGCAAACAUAUCGCAUUUUAGCGCUUAUGAACAAGACCAUCACCCUUGGUUAAUGCAUAUUAUUUGUCAUUCAUGCUCUAAAGCGAUCAAUAUGUUACAUUUUAAAAAUAUUGGGAACAAUACUGAUAAAAUAUUCUGGGUUUUAGCUUCUUUUUGUAUAUAAAUGGUUCCUGGGGUAUUUUCUUGGUUUUGAGUCUGUUAGCAUGCUUAGACUUCAAUUUUAGAUUUGGAGCUUUUCCCAGAUGCACACAAAUAUAGUCUAUGAAGCUUGAAAAGGGGUCAUCUUUUACGAUGUUGCAUAGAGUUAAUGUUUUGAUUCUGAAUUUUCUCAAAUAUAUAAGUGAUGUGACAGUGCAGGUAGAUUAAUUAAAUUCUUUCAAAUGGAGUUUUGGAGAUGAAAAGAUAACAUGGGGUGUAUUAUUUUCUGUUUUUGUUGGAUACCAUUGGAGAAUUUCUAACCAUAUUUUUGCUGCUCUGGGAAGGAGCAUGUAUUUAUCUCUUUUUUACUGGAAAGGAGCGUGCAUUUCUCUCCGUUUUACUGGUAAGGUGCAUCUUCCAGGUUUGGCAUAUUAGUUCAAUUUUUACAUUUGUGCCUGCAAAAUAUAUAGUGUAAAUCACCAAACCGAGUUUGGCAAGGGUAGGCUUGUCAUGUUGUUUUAGAUAUAACAUUCAGAAAUGGUGCCACAUGAACCGCAAAAAAUUCAGAAUAUAAAUUUCUAUAUUGUAUUUAUGACUACCUCUGCUGCAGACAUUGAUGGUUUUGAUGGGUUGCAUUGCCUGAUGCUUUUUCAUUCUUUAGCAUACAAAUAAGGAUUGUUAUUACCUACUGUUUGUAUGGCACCUCAAAUCGUCUGAUCUGCCUUGGUGUUCUCCUGCCUGGCCCCUACAGUUCAAGAAGGUAACCACGUGUGACGCCGCCAUCGCCCGCCAAGACCGGAGUCGGAGCACGGUUUUCACCGGCAGCCGCGCAUCCCCAACUCGCCGAGUGUAGUGACGUGGAAAGCAAAGAUGAUGCCUUCGACAAGGUAACGACGCCAAUCAACGCCGCCAUCAUCCGCCAAGACCGAGAUCGAAGCACGGUUUUCACCGGCUGCCCCGUCACGCAAAGCUCGCCGUCGACUGGAUCUUCACCGUCGAAGAUCUGAGUGGGAUCCCAAAAUCCCCCACCCCAGAUCCCAACGAUGUUGUCCCCCUUCGGAGAGGAGGUCGCCGCCGCCAUGACCGGGGCCGCCGCCCCGGCUCCCAUGUGAUGCGGGCGGAGCAGCCCGUCGCGCGGAGGAGAAGGCGUAGCAGCACGACCGCCUCCAAGCCCCAAGCCAAGAUCCGGCCACGCCACCACCGCCGCCGCCUCGCCUUCCGGCCGCCGACGCCGCGCACCACCACCACCACAAGGGAUCUGGAGCGCCGCCCCCACCCCCCAUGAUCGCGACCAUAUGAAGCCCCUGCCACCGCCAUGCCACACGGGCUUUGCCCGGCGACACCUCCGGCGGCGAGGGGAGGGAGGGGCUGGAGGGGGCGUGAGGGCCGGUGAGGAGGGCUCCCCGGAGUGGCGGGGCGCCGCCACCCGGGGGAGGGUUAGAUCGGGGGAGGGGCACAGCUCUGAUGGAGUCUCUUGGCAGACUGCACCGCAUCACUACAGUAGCACCUAUUCAGGAAGUUUGAACUUUCAAUGCUCAGUAUGCGCCUAUCUUGCCGUGUGCUUGUUGAAAUAAGAAAAUAGCUGACUAAUACUAUACAUGUUGCUAGGCCGAGAGCUUAAUUAUUUUCCUGAUUUCUUCUCAUUAUUGCCUCUCACUUAAAAUUUUGCGGUACAUCCAUUGCUUUUAUUUAUACAUAUGUUGUCUUUCUUUCUGUUUAUGCUACUUGUUUCGUGCAGCUUACCAUUCUCCUGUUGUACUACCUCUGUCUAUAAAAUGAUGUCAAAAGUUGUCCAAAUUCGGAUGUAUCUAGGCACACUUCAGUAUAUAGAUACAUCUGAUUUUGGAAAAACCUCUGACAUCAUUUUAUAGACGGAGGCAGUAGAUUAUUUUUCCUGGGGCUGUAACAAUGUUAAACUGAGGUUAUUUGUUUUCUUUGAGAAUAAAAGGCCACAUUGAUAAAGAACUUUGGAAAGCGCGAGAAGGGAGAGUGAGGGAGGAAGAAAAUGAGACCCCGGAUACCUGUAGACGACUUUUGGUGGCUCAAAGUAGACGACAAUUCAUGAAAUUAUGGUUCUGCCAAUAGAAACAUCAUUAUUAAUAAAUGCAAUUACAAUAUCUCCUUCUAAUUACACUCUCUCAUCAGGUAAGAUUACACUCCCUUUUUGCCACACAUGCUCAACUAAAUGUUGCACUCAGGAACCUUUUUUUGGUUUCCUGCUUUUCAUCAACCAAGGCUUGUAGUAAUCACUGUAGUAGAUGUACCUCAGUACCACAACCCAGUUUACACCUGAUUUUCAAAGGAGUCCUAUAACAUAUAUAUUCAGUUUUGACUAUUAAACUUGGUUCCAUGAAACCUUCAGGCUACUCAGGUUCAUAGUAGUUUUGUAGCAGCGGUCAAGUCUUUAGUGUGGCAUCUGAACUAACAAGUCAUGUACUGUACUCGUACUUGUAGCUCCAGGUUACCAAUUCAUACCAAUUCACAUUAUUAUUGAAAUGUGUAGUUUGGAACAGCAACGUAAUACUUCACUUUCAGUAGUAUAAUAUGUAUGACUGGUUUAGCCACAUGGGUUAACUAGCAGGUUAUUUCUUUAGGAAUAGCAUUUAGCUGAACCAAUACAUUAACUCAAGUUUUGUUUGUACUUUUUUUUAAACAAGCUAACGCAAACCGUGAAACCCAAGUUACCAAAUAUUCUGCUGAACCGUGUGAAAUAAAAUCUGUUAUUAAACUAAAAUAAGAUUUGAGUGAGCAUCUUUUAAUAGCUACAGCUGACUUGAACUAAAUCAGAAUGCAUAAAAAUGAUUUACUUUCUCAUAAGUACUACAAAAAAGAAAGCACAAAUGUUCUUUAUGUACAAGGCAAGGCUGGUACCUUUUACCCUUAGCUAAUAUGAUCUCCUGUCCUUACCAGGUUUAAGCCAUGGACGUUGUUGAGAUUUCAUCUAGAGUCAUGAUCAAGGCAGCUUCCAAAACCAUUGUGCAACAGUAUACCCAACAAGAGCAAAAUGACGAUAAUAUUCUAUCCGUCAUAUACAUCAUUCUGUUGGAGAUAAGUCCUAGACCAGGUCUUUCGAGCAAGCAGUUAGCAGUGUAUAGGUUGUUGACUAUACAGUUAGUUUGUUGUAAGACAUUUGUAUUAAAUGAAGAUUUACAAAGUGUUUCACCUAUCGGAUAAUUUUUUCAUUUGAUUUCUACAGAUGCU